UACGUAGGGAGCAAGCGUUGUUCGGAUUUACUGGGCGUAAAGGGCGCGUAGGCGGCAAAUUAAGUCAGCUGUGAAAUCUCCGAGCUUAACUCGGAACGGUCAGCUGAUACUGAUCUGCUAGAGUGCGGAAGGGGCAAUCGGAAUUCUUGGUGUAGCGGUGAAAUGCGUAGAUAUCUGGAGGAAUACCGGUGGCGAAGGCGGCAUCCUGGACCGGCAUUGACGCUGAGGAGCGAAAGCCAGGGGAGCAAACGGG
rnacentral:rRNA from 1 species